UAGGGUGGUUAUAGCGGUAGGGCUCACCUGUUCCCAUUUCGAACACAGAAGUUAAGCCUACUUGCGCUGAUGGUACUGCAAAAGCGGGAGAGUAGGUAGCCGCCAGUU
rfam:Bacteroidetes bacterium R-53146 genome assembly, contig: Ga0061079_122